AAAGUUGUCAUAGUUUGAAGCCAGAAAAAUCUUCCUUCGGGAGGCCGAACUCGCCUCACCCCUUCUCCAACCUUGCUUCUUCUUUGGGCCUCCCACCUCUUGGACUCCGGCCGAGAUUAGCCGAGGGCAAUACUCCUGCCCCCGGAAAUGUCCCAACUCAGUUCCGGAGCUGAAGCAGAAAGAGAGACAGCAAGUGAGCGCGGGUUCCGUUAGGGCUCGGGGAGCCACCUCAGCGCGACGGGAGGAGGCGAGUCUGGGAGGCACCCGCAAAGUGACUGCGAUGGAAGCCCGGGGAUGCGCGCGGUCCCGGCGGCCGCUGCCGGCGCUGCUGCUGAUCCUGCUGCUGCCGCCUGCCGCGGGCGCUGCAGGCGCUGCGGACGCGCGCUGGAGCGGGCAGGGCACCACCCCGCACCUGCAGAGCAUCUUCCUGGGCCGCUGCGCGGAGUACAUUGCGGUGCUGAGCCCCGAGCUGCGGGACAAGAACUGCACAGCCAUCUGGGAAGCCUUUAAACUGCUGCUGGAUAAGGAUCCCUGUUCUGUGCUUCCCUCAGAUUACGACCUUUUUAUUAACCUCUCCAGGCACUCCAUUCCCAGAGACAAGUCCCUAUUCUGGGAAAACAACCACCUCCUUGUCACCAGCUAUGCAGAGAACGGCCGCCGCUUUAUGCCACUGUGCAAUGUUCUGUAUGGCAUGGUUGGAGAUUUCUUGAGCUGGUGUCGACAGAAAAAUGCCUCUGGACUCGACUACCAAUCCUGCCCUACAUCUGAAGAUUGUGAAAACAAUCCUGUGGAUUCUUACUGGAAAAGUGCAUCCAUCCAGUAUGCAAAGGAUAGUUCUGGGGUGAUCUACGUCAUGCUGAAUGGUUCAGAGCCAACAGGAGCCUAUCCUGUAAAAGGGUUUUUUGCAGAUUUUGAAAUUCCCCACUUACAGAAGGAUAAAAUCACACGCAUCGAGAUCUGGGUUAUGCAUGAAAUCGGGGGAACCAAUGUGGAAUCCUGUGGAGAAGGCAGUGUGAAAAUCCUGGAAGAGAGACUGGAGAAAAUGGGUUUCCAGUAUAGCUGUAUCAAUGACUACAAACCCGUGAAGCUCUUACAGUGUGUGCAACACAGCACUCAUCCUGACUGUGCCUUAAAUUCUUGAUGAGUGGCACUGCAUGAGAGCUCCCCCUUCUGACCUCCUGACUCCAUUUAAGUGGCUUCACCCUGAACUAUGAUGACCCAGUGAGCAUUUGAUAUGUGAAGGAAUCAAUACUGAAUUUGCAUUUAAGAUUGAGCAAGAUGAUCAGGUUUGGGGAAUAUGAAGAAAAAUCCUACACUACUCAUGGGGCUUCCCUGGUGGCACAGUGGUUGAGAAUCUGCCUGCUAAUGCAGGGGACACGGGUUUGAGCCCUGGUCUGGGAGGAUCCCACAUGCCGCGGAGCAACUAGGCCCGUGAGCCACAACUACUGAGCCUGCGCAUCUGGAGCCUGUGCUCCGCAACGAGAGGCCACGAUAGUGAGAGGCCCGCGCACCGCGAUGAAGAGUGGCCCCCGCUUGCCACCACUAGAGAAAGCCCUCGCACAGAAACGAAGACCCAACACAGCAAAAAUAAAUAAAUUAAUUAAUAAACUCCUACCCCCAACAUCUUAAAAAAAAAAAAAAAAUCCUACACUACUCUUGUUGACCGCAAGUUCACGUGUCCGAAGCACAGUGAGGCCAAAUGAAAGGAAACAUCAGAGUUUGGAGCAGGGAAAGGUUUAUUGCAGGACCGAGCAAGGAGAAUGGGUGACUCAUGCUCAAAUACCCCAGACUCCUCAAUGGGUUUGGGGGAAUAGGUUUUAUAGGCAAAAUUUGGGGUGAGGGAUGCAGGGUGUGUGACUUUCCUCUGAUUGGUUGGUGAUGAGAUAACAGGAUGGUGUUCCAAGAAUCUCAAUCAUCAGCCUUCUGGUUCCAACCAGUCUGCGGUCUCAGUGUGUAGUUACCACCCAAGUGGAGGGUUCCUGUAGAAGAGCUCAAAGAUGUAUUGUCAUGUAUGUCCCCUGGGGAGGAACUAGGUCUCUGCUUUAUUGCCAAACUAUUGUUUCUUAACGGAUUUUCCUUUGUUUCUAUAACACAUUCUCUCACUUCCCAGAUUAGCAACUGUUGAAAUCUGCCCUUUGGUUCAGGGAAGGUCUAGGGGGCUGAAGACUUUUUCCUGCAAAUAAGAAAUGGGGACACAGAAAGGAUUUUGUACCCAGGAGGGCCCCCAGUGUCCUGCUCCAUUUCACUACUCCUCCUGGGUUUCCCCUUUACUAGCCACACAGAACACCUCACUUCUGACACUUCUGGUUGCCAGAUAUGUGGGGUUUUUCCCACAUCAAGGAAUUCUCUGACACCAGCCGCGUGUCCUACAUUUCAGCUUGAUUCAGAUGCUAUCUACCUGGAGACAGCGUUAGAUUCCACAGGUUAAGGGCUCAGUCCCACACGACUGCCCCUCCCCUCCUCCACCAAGCCAGUUGUCAGCCCAUGUUUGUUACUGAACCAAACUUGGGUCUGGUGGUCCCUGCACAGUAAAGCCAAUCUACUGACACUGGGUCGUGGUAAAGGAAAGUGCAGCGUGUAUUGUAAGAUGCCAUACAAGGAGUCCAGAACAGCUAGUGCUCAAAAAAGCCCGAACUCCCUGAUGCGGUUCAGCAAAGCAGUGUUAAAGGCCAGGUAAGGGAGGGGAGUUGCAGGGUAUAUGGUCAGCUCGUGCACAAUUCUCUGAUUGGUUGAAGGUGAGGUAACAGGGCAGUGUCAUAAUGAUAACUAACAUUAUCAAUCCUCAGGCUCCAGGAAGUCUGGGGGCUACGUGCUCAUGGUCAUCAAGUAGUCAACAUCUUCCAUUUGUUGGGGGUUUUAGCAUCUGAAAAAACAACUCAAGAAAUGUGCAUCAGAUACUGUUAACUAGGUACUUCAGAGAGGAGCUGCAGCAGAGGAUAUGGGGGUGGGGUCUGUCCUGGGAAAGCCCCAUAGUGUCCUGCUCCUUUACAGGUUGUCACCUGUGCUUCUGACUGACCAGCUAUAGAUCAGCGGUUCCUAUGACCUCCUCUUUGUGUUUGAUUCAUGUGCUGAAGUGGGUCACAUGACUCAGGUCACAUAACUCUAGUGUUUACUCACUAGAUUACCAUUUAAUACAAAGUAUGUAACUUAGGAACAGACAGAUGGAAGAGAUGCAGAGGACAAGGUACAGGGAAAGGGCACAGAGCUUCCACGCCCUCUGCAAGCCCCACUUCUGCCACAUCUCUGUGGAUUCACAAACCUGGAAGCUCUCCUAUGGAGCCUUCCUUACACAGGCAUGAUUGAUUAAAUCAUUGGCCAUUGGUGGUUGGACUCAAACUCCAGCCCUUCUUCCCUCCCCUGAGGUCAAGGGGGUGAAAUUGAAAGUUCCAAUCCUCUAGUCAUGUGGUUGGUUCCCCUGACAAGCAGCCUCCAUUCUUACCUGUUGGCUUUCCAAAAUUUCACUCAUUAAGAUAACAAAGACACAUUUACUGCCCUCCUCAGGAAAUUUCAAGGUUUUUAGGAGCUCUGUGCCAGGAGCAGGGAUGAAGACCAAACCUAUAUUUCUUAUUAUAAAUCACAAUAUUACAGGGAACCAAAUGGGGUUGCAGCCCAACAUCGUGGCUAAGAGCAGAUUCUGUUAGGUGUGAAUGAAAAAUAUUGCCCCGCCAUAUCAGUAAACAAAGGAUGUUGCAGCCUUCAAGCCAUCAGCCACUGCAGUCACCUUCCAAUGAUGCGCCUUGAGGAGACUCAGGUCGAGACAGCCCAAGAUACUGGCCGCAGAUGGCUGAGGUGCAUAGCAAAAGAAUGAUUUCAGUGAACCCAGACUCUUGCAUCUUCCCAUAUAUAGAAAAGCGCUAAAUUCCUUAACUCAAGAUAUCUGGAUUUUUUAAAUUAACAGUAAUCUUUGAUGUUCCACUACCUGGUCUUUGUUGCAGAAACUCCUCUGUAUCCUGGCUCCUCCCUUACCUCUUUGGAGCAGUCCCUCAGAGCUAUUUGAGAUGCUGUAUUCUGGGCUUAAGUCCUCAGUUUUGUCUGCCGAAUGAAACAUAAUUCUCAACUUUUACAUCGUGCAUUUUUUUCAGUCGACAUAGGUCUGGCCAGUCCUGCCUCUAUCACUUGCUAGCUGUGUGGCCCCGGGCAGAUCAUGUAUGUCUCCAAGUUGCAUCACCUUGUUGUAAAUAGGGAUUACAAGUACUCAGAAGGAAAUUGGUCCAUGUGCAUAAAGAACCCAGGACAGUGCCAGGCCUGUGAUAAAUGAGCACUGUGUCAGCGUUAGUUGCUAAUAUUGUUAUUGAGACAGGAGGGAAGGGGUCAGGGCACAACCUUUUAAAAGAAUGACACAGCCAUUGAGGCUAUGACAUAAACUGGUUAGAACCGAUUAUGCCCACGACGGUGGGAGAUUCGACUUCCAGUAGAACUUGAGCCUCGUUAUACGCUCACUGUAAUGCGGUAGCAUGCUACAUGACACACCCACAAGCGCCAUGACAGUUUCGAGGCCAACCAUGAAAGGCCGAAAAGGGGGCUGUUGUCCAAUUCCUGGAAAUCCCUGCCCCUUCCCCAAAUAGUUGGAAUAAGCCUCCCACUUAGCUUAUAGAAUUGCCCAGCCCAUAGAAACUAACCAUCCCGUACUUCAGGGCUUCUCGCCUUCUAAGAUGGCCAACACUCUGUCUAUGGAGUGCGUAUCUUCCUAAAUAAACCGGCUUUCCCACUUAAUUCUUGGGGCAGAGUCCCCUGCCUGCCCUCUUGUAUCUCUCACAAGGGUCCUGUAUUAAUAAAUCUACUUCUUGCCUAUCCCUCUGCCUCUCGCUGAAUUCCUUCUGCGUUGAGACAUAAAGAACAUGAGCUUCAGUAAGUCCUGAUACCAGGUGAGUGAUUUUAAUUAAAAGACAGAGGGUUCGAGCCCCAGCCCAUGGGUUCAAGUUCUAAUCUGAGUUUUGGCUGGUUUCGAGUGCCAGUCUGAGGUGUGCGCUUUCAUUAUUACUACUAGAGAUGUUUGAUACUUAUCUAAACACUAUCUACCAAUACAGUACUUUCUAGUGCAGUCCAGAGAUUACUGUGCAGCAGGCACUGUGCCAAGUACCUUCAUAGGUGCCCUCUUUAGUCCUCACCGCCCCAUGAGAUCAGUUCUAUUAUAUCCUGUUUUACGAGGAGAAACUGUAGAAGGAGAGAGUUUCAUUACGUGGCUAAGAUCACACAACUCCAGCAUCUCUGAGAGUUCCUUCUGCCCUGGGCAGGGAUGGUGGCAGCCAGCCUUAGCAGAAGUAGUGAUAUACCAGCUCUGCUUCUUCAUGAACUGACAUCCACUGCUAGCACCAAGCCUGGCACUUAGUAGGUACUUAAUGCAUAUCUUCUGAGUGACUGAAUAAUGAUUGGCAUUUGACCACAAACGAAAUGCUUACGAAAGGCCCCAGAGCACAGGAGAGAGAGCUGGGCAGGCAGGUUGAGGAACUGAGUACUAGUCUAUUCUGUUCUGUUCUGGGUCUCCUUGGUAGCCACCCUAAAAAUUGGUCAUGUUCCCUCUAACACGACAUACUUGAUAACAAGUGACUUUCAGAACCUGAAGAGGAAUGGUAGAAACUAUGAUGGUGAAGAUGGUUAACUUAAAAUGAUAAAAGAUGCAGUUACUUUACCAGCAAAAUGGGUUUAUCUGGGAGCAGCAAAGAAUUGCAAUUCAGGACAGGCAAGUAUGGCAACCAUAUGGAAGUCCAGUAGAGCAAAAGAGAGGGAACUAUUUUAUAGAGGAAUAGGGGAAGUUAAGACGGGCUGUUAUAAACAAAAAGUCCACUGGAGGAAACUGGGAGUUCGAAGUAUGGUGGUUUUUCAUUGGCUGAGUUGUGACAGUCUCUCAUUGGCUGACUUGUUGCCAGGCAAGGAGAAAACUUUUCUCCCUUCUGCUGGCAGUAGUAAAGUAGUGUCAUUUCCUGUAGGAGAUACAAGAUACAUCUCUUCCUUUUGGGAUCUGUAUUGACUUAGAGUGGUACCUGCAUGAGAAUUCCCCUUCAGCCCUCCUGACUCCGUUUUAGUGAGGUUUCCCUUUAUUAAUUUUGACAUGAUACUGACAGCUCAGCAAGUCUCAAAUGCGUUUGACUCCCACAGAAAGGAAGCCAAAAUCUCCAGCGACCCUGGCUGAGGUCGGUCUGUGUCAACGUCCCUCAAAAACUUCAGAAGCAACAGGACAAAAUAGAAGCCCAAUUUGAAAAGGAAUUUCAGACCUUUGAGAUAAAGUGUAAUGUUUAUGAGCCUUUCCUUGCUAAGAUAUUCACUCUGUAUGGUGCACGUAUUAAUGUAUUGGAGGGACGUGCACAAAGAUGAGAAAAUGUGAUGUUAAAGAGGGAGGACCUGGAUUCUGAGGCAUCUGAGGUAAAUUAAAAAGAAAAAGAAUGGUAAAAAAUCCUAAAAACCUUCCUGCAUAUUGAUUGAUUUAACAAAUAUUUUGGAAGGCACAGGACUUUGAUCAAAAAAUGAGGUGACCCUCUCCUGGUGAUCUUCAGAGACGUGUAGUGGGAGUGAUCACAUCUUGGCCGGCUGAUCAGUUACAUGUCUGAAAUUCCCCUUGAACACAAAUGUUGUGGACUAAAUUGGGUUCCUCCCCGGUUCAUGUUUUGUUAUGGCAGCCCCAGCAAACUAAUACAACAAUGAAUAUUUCAAAAGUAAGAUGUAGAGGCAGACCUGUGCUGAAGUGAAAACCAGCUUUCUCAACUCCUUCUUCUGUGAGAUAAUGAAAAUUGAGGUUUGCAAGAGUGCUAAAUAGAUACGGUGAAUAAAGAGUGUCACUUAGAGAAGAAUUCGUGGCCUCACUCCAUGUGGGACAGUCCAAAGCAGAGCUGAACCAGCCCUGAAUGGUAUUCUUCCAUUUAUUUAGUCUUUCCAAAAUUCCUCAGUGCCCGAAAGUGGAACUCAUGAAAACGAAACUUCACUGAAGACUUUGCAAUUGCUGGAACUUCAUUUAUAGGGUUUUGAAACACAGAGCACAGUUUUACACUUUACACAAGGAGACUUGUGGCACCAAAGAAAAGGGUGAACUCAAACACUUUACUGGCCAGCAGGGCUCAACUAUUGUUGAGACUGGGAAGCUGUCUUUUUAAGACCUGGCCAGGGUUCUGAACAUCCACAUUAAUAACCAAUGAAGCAGGUGGCAGGAUCUGCACUAUGCUAAUUUCAACACAACUAUUCAUUACUAAUAGCCUUAUGUUUCUGUGUUUUCUUGGUAGAGUCUAUCCCCAAAUUCGUCCCAAUAAUAAGAAAUGUGUAUGUAUGAAAUCGCUUUACUUAGAAUUUUAGGAAUAUAGUUUUUUUUCCCCAAAAGAUGUGGAUUGAAGCAGAUUCCCCAAAUCAUAUUUUCAUUGUUAUGUUAUUUUCGUCCGUUCAAAUUCCCAUUGUCAUGUAACUGUUAAAGGGUCGCUGUCAAAAUUACCCAAAGUCUUCACUCAAAUGAUUUAUUUACUUGAGAAAAAUGCAUGUCAAAAAGCCAUUCCAAGUGUGUGUGUUUCUGACCUGUGCGGAAAUAGAAAGGCUUUAAUUUGACUUGUAUCAGCUGCACCUGCAUGAUUUUGUGAUAGAAAUGUGACGUGAUAAUUCUAAGAUGCGGCUUGUAAAAUUUUGCUAUUUGGGAAUAGCUGGCACAUAGUUAAAAUCUCUUGGAAGAACACAUUAAGCUUGUUUGGACUGGAUUCUGUGUGACACAGUGAUCUGCACAGAAUUAUAAUCAGAAUGGAGUUCUUGUUUACCAUUGCUGCUGUUAGUAGAAUUUAGGAGGGUUAGAGAGAGGUGGGGAGGGAGAGAGACUCUCCUGACCCUGAUAAUUAAACUAGGAAUUGCUCUCUAUUUUUAUGUGUGUGAUGGAGACACAGGGUGCUUUGGGAUGGCAGAGUGGGGACCUAACUCGAUGUAACAUCAGGGAAGGAAGGCUUCCUAGAGGAAGUGACCUCUAAGUUGAGAUGGGAAAGAUAAGGGCUAUUCAGCCAGAUGAGAGGUGGGGGCAUAAGGAGGUGCGUUGAAAGUAUUUCCAGGCGUAGAGACUAAUAUGUACAAAGGUUUAUGUCCUCAACUUAUUGAGUCUGUCUUAAAUGUUUGCACUUUGUUUAUUUAACACCUUUAUACUACUCAGCCGAUAGUUGCUGGUUAUCUUGAUUAGGAGUCCUUGGAGAGGUAGUGACUGUUGGAGGUGUCAUAUCCAAGAACCCAGGACUGUUUGAAUUUCUCCCCUCUCUUCCAGUGGAGUUGCCAAACAAGCUACAGGCAAGCCCAAGCACAGAUUGGAAACUGACAAUUAUUAUUUAACCACUAGAUUGUCAGGCUGCUGAUUAGGGACAACCCUGGCUAAGCUGAGUGAAUGUGCCCCAGAGCACAUCACUCUCAUGAUGUGGUCACCUCGCCCACGAGUAAAAGUGGCUCAAAAAUUCCUUGCUCCCAGAAAUCAUAUCAGGAUCUGCUCCUUCCUGAAAGGGGGUGACAGGGCAUUGGGGUGUGGAAGGAGGUGAGGCUAGGCAGAUUAAGUAGGGAGAAGUGCUGAAACGUUCUGUCUGUACCCUCGAUAAUCUUCAUGAAAAGUCACAGUGAUAGACAUGGAAGCAACCUAAAUGUUCAUUGACAGAUGAAUGUGUAAAGAAGAUGUGGUGCAUAUAUACAAUGGACUAUUACUUAGCCAUAAAAAAAAUGAAAUUAUGCCUUUUGCAGCAAGAUGGAUGGACCUGGAGAUUAUUAUACUAAGUGAAGAAAGCCAGACAGAGAAAGAUGAAUAUCAUAUGACAUCACUUAUAUGUGGGAUCUAAAAAAAUAAUACAAAUGAACUUAUUUAUAAAAUAGAAACAGACUCUCAGUCUUCAAAAAAAAACUUAUGGUUACCAAAAGGGAAAUGUAGGUGGGGGAGGGAUAAACUGAGAGUUUGGGAAUAACAUAUACACACUACUAUAUAUAAAAUAGAUAAUCAACAAGGACCCACUGUAUGGCACAGGGAACUCUACUCAGUAUUCUGUAAUAAACUAUAUGGGAAAAAAAUCUGAAAAAGAAUGGAUAUAUGUAUAUGAAUAAGUGAAUCAUUUUGCUGUACAUCUGAAACUAACACAACAUUGUCAAUCAACUAUACUCUAAUAUAAAAUAAAAACUAAAAAAAAAAAAGGUCACAGUGAUAGAUGCCCAGAAGCUCUCAGACUUCAAAGGGGCUCACAAGGUAGUUGAGGAGGGGUACAACUGACAGCAUUAUUGAGAGUAUGUUUGUCAAUGGUCCACAGGGGCCACAUUUGACCCAUCACUUGCUUUUGUACAACCCAAAAGC